UUCAUUUAAUUAAGUAUUACAAAUACAAACCCUUCAAUUUAUCUCUCAGUCGCCGACUCUCUCCGACCAGAAUUUUUUUUCCAACAUUUUGUAGUCGUCGUCUCUCACUCCAAGGUCGACAUGACGACGCCAUCUAGAGAAGCUUUAUGAUUUGAUAUUGAGGAAUAAGAUAGCAAGAAGAUGGGGUUACAAUGAUGGCUAAUAACGUACUCUCCUAUGUUGAGGUCAAGGAUGAGAAGAUAGAAUUGUUGUUGUAGAUAUGAAUUCUUCCUUGAAUUGCACACCUUUUUUUGUUUUUAUUUUUGUUAAGACAUUGUAUACAUCUAUUUUUCUAGUCAAUAUAGUAUGAAUACUGAAUAAUGGAAGAUAGUUCUUGUAUUGUUUCAUGAAUUUGGUUCAGUUUGUAAUGAUGAUUAUUUAUUUUUUUAUCAUUACGAAAUAUUGUGUUUAA